rnacentral:rRNA from 1 species
AGUGAACGCUGGCGGUAGGCCUAACACAUGCAAGUCGAACGGCAGCACAGUAAGAGCUUGCUCUUACGGGUGGCGAGUGGCGGACGGGUGAGGAAUACAUCGGAAUCUACUUUUUCGUGGGGGAUAACGUAGGGAAACUUACGCUAAUACCGCAUACGACCUACGGGUGAAAGCAGGGGAUCUUCGGACCUUGCGCGAAUGAAUGAGCCGAUGCCGGAUUAGCUAGUUGGCGGGGUAAAGGCCCACCAAGGCGACGAUCCGUAGCUGGUCUGAGAGGAUGAUCAGCCACACUGGAACUGAGACACGGUCCAGACUCCUACGGGAGGCAGCAGUGGGGAAUAUUGGACAAUGGGCGCAAGCCUGAUCCAGCCAUACCGCGUGGGUGAAGAAGGCCUUCGGGUUGUAAAGCCCUUUUGUUGGGAAAGAAAAGCAGCAGGUUAAUACCCCGCUGUUCUGACGGUACCCAAAGAAUAAGCACCGGCUAACUUCGUG